rnacentral:rRNA from 1 species
GGUGAGUAACGCGUAUCCAACCUGCCCAUCACUUGGGGAUAACCUUGCGAAAGUAAGACUAAUACCCAAUGACGUCUCUAGAAGACAUCUGAAAGAGAUUAAAGAUUUAUCGGUGAUGGAUGGGGAUGCGUCUGAUUAGCUUGUUGGCGGGGUAACGGCCCACCAAGGCAACGAUCAGUAGGGGUUCUGAGAGGAAGGUCCCCCACAUUGGAACUGAGACACGGUCCAAACUCCUACGGGAGGCAGCAGUGAGGAAUAUUGGUCAAUGGGCGAGAGCCUGAACCAGCCAAGUAGCGUGCAGGAUGACGGCCCUAUGGGUUGUAAACUGCUUUUAUAAGGGAAUAAAGUGAGUCUCGUGAGACUUUUUGCAUGUACCUUAUGAAUAAGGACCGGCUAAUUCCGUGCCAGCAGCCGCGGUAAUACGGAAGGUCCGGGCGUUAUCCGGAUUUAUUGGGUUUAAAGGGAGCGUAGGCCGGAGAUUAAGCGUGUUGUGAAAUGUAGACGCUCAACGUCUGCACUGCAGCGCGAACUGGUUUCCUUGAGUACGCACAAAGUGGGCGGAAUUCGUGGUGUAGCGGUGAAAUGCUUAGAUAUCACGAAGAACUCCGAUUGCGAAGGCAGCUCACUGGAGCGCAACUGACGCUGAAGCUCGAAAGUGCGGGUAUCGAACAGGAUUAGAUACCCUGGUAGUCCGCACGGUAAACGAUGGAUGCCCGCUGUUGGUUUGAAUAGGUCUGC